rnacentral:tRNA from 1 species
GGGAAUGUGGCUUAGUGGUAGAGUGCAUGCCUUGAAUGCAGGAAGUCCUGGGUUCAAUUCCUCAGAACCA